GACGAACGCUGGCGGCGUGCCUAAUACAUGCAAGUUGAGCGCUGAAGGUUGGUACUUGUACCAACUGGAUGAGCAGCGAACGGGUGAGUAACGCGUGGGGAAUCUGCCUUUGAGCGGGGGACAACAUUUGGAAACGAAUGCUAAUACCGCAUAAAAACUUUAAACACAAGUUUUAAGUUUGAAAGAUGCAAUUGCAUCACUCAAAGAUGAUCCCGCGUUGUAUUAGCUAGUUGGUGAGGUAAAGGCUCACCAAGGCGAUGAUACAUAGCCGACCUGAGAGGGGGAUCGGCCAAAUUGGGACUGAGACACGGCCCAAACCUCUACGGGAGGCAACAGGAGGGAAUCUUCGGCAAAGGACGAAAGUCUGAACGGGCAACGCCGCGGGAGUGAAGAAGGGUUUCGGAUCGUAAAACUCUGUUGGUAGAGAAGAACGUUGGUGAGAGUGGAAAGCUCAUCAAGUGACGGUAACUAACCAGAAAGGGACGGCUAACUACGUG
rnacentral:rRNA from 1 species